GGCCUUGACAUGCAGAGAACUUUCCAGAGAUGGAUUGGUGCCUUCGGGAACUCUGACACAGGUGCUGCAUGGCUGUCGUCAGCUCGUGUCGUGAGAUGUUGGGUUAAGUCCCGUAACGAGCGCAACCCUUGUCCUUAGUUACCAGCACGUUAUGGUGGGCACUCUAAGGAGACUGCCGGUGACAACCGGAGGAAGGUGGGGGAUGACGUCAAGUCAUCAUGGCCCUUACGGCCUGGGCUACACACGUGCUACAAUGGUCGGUACAAAGGGUUGCCAAGCCGCGAGGUGGAGCUAAUCCCAUAAAACCGAUCGUAGUCCGGAUCGCAGUCUGCAACUCGACUGCGUGAAGUCGGAAUCGCCAGUAAUCGUGAAUCAGAAUGUCACGGUGAAUACGUUCCCGGGCCUU
rnacentral:rRNA from 1 species